GAUGAACGCUAGCUACAGGCUUAACACAUGCAAGUCGAGGGGAAACGGACAUCGAAAGCUUGCUUUUGAUGGGCGUCGACCGGCGCACGGGUGAGUAACGCGUAUCCAACCUGCCCACCACUUGGGGGAUAACCUUGCGAAAGUAAGACUAAUACCCAAUGAUAUCCCACGAAGGCAUCCGAAUGGGAUUAAAGAUUUAUCGGUGAUGGAUGGGGAUGCGUCUGAUUAGCUUGUUGGCGGGGUAACGGCCCACCAAGGCAACGAUCAGUAGGGGUUCUGAGAGGAAGGUCCCCCACAUUGGAACUGAGACACGGUCCAAACUCCUACGGGAGGCAGCAGUGAGGAAUAUUGGCAAUGGGCGGAAGCCUGAACCAGCCAAGUCGCGUGAGGGAGACGGUCCUACGGAUUGUAAACCUCUUUAGCCGGGGAGUAAAGUGCGUGACGUGUCACGCAUUGAGAGUACCCGGAGAAUAAGCAUCGGCUAACUCCGUGCCAGCAGCC
rnacentral:rRNA from 1 species